ACCAGUACCGUGAGGGAAAGGUGAAAAGAACCUCGAACAGAGGAGUGCAACAGACCCUGAAACCAUAUGCCUACAAGCGGUCGGAGCGGCUCAGUGCCGUGACGGCGUGCCUUUUGCAUAAUGAACCUACGAGUCACCGUCGUUGGCAAGGUUAAGGACAAUGAUGUCCGGAGCCGAAGCGAAAGCGAGUCCGAAGAGGGCGCCGGAGUCAGCGGAGGUGGACGCGAAACCAAGUGAUCUACCCUUGGGCAGGUUGAAGGACAGGUAAAACUGUCUGGAGGACCGAACCGGUAAGCGUUGAAAAGCUUUCGGAUGACCUGAGGGUAGGAGUGAAAGGCCAAUCAAACUUGGAGAUAGCUCGUACUCCCCGAAAUGUAUUUAGGUGCAGCCUCGGAGAGAAUCUGACGGAGGUAGAGCGACUGAUAGGAUGCGAGGGCUUCACCGCCUAUCAAGUCCUGACAAACUCCGAAUGCCGUCAGACAUAUCCGGGAGUAAGGGCGCGGGUGCUAAGGUCCGCGUCCGAGAGAGGAACAACUCAGACCAUCGGCUAAGGUCCCGAAAUCCGGGCUAAGUUGAAGACAAUAACGAGGUGGGAUUGCAUAGACAGCUAGGAUGUUGGCUUGGAAGCAGCCAUUCAUUUAAAGAGUGCGUAACAGCUCACUAGUCGAGUGAUCCCGCGUGGAUAAUAAUCGGGCAUAAGUCCGGUACCGAAGCCAUGGAAUCACGCUUAGGGCGUGAUUGGUAGGGGAGCAUUCCGUACAGCGGCGAAGGUCGGUGGCGAUGCCGGCUGGAGCGUACGGAAAAGCAAAUGUAGGUAUAAGUAACGAUAAUGGAGGCGAGAAACCUCCACGCCGAAAGACCAAGGUUUCCUGAUCAACGCUAAUCGGAUCAGGGUAAGUCGGGACCUAAGGGGCAGCCGCGAGGCGGACCCGAUGGAAGAAACGGUAAAGAUUCCGUUACUGUCGCCGGGAGUGAAGCGGGGACGGAGGAGUGACACCGCCGCGGACUGACGGAAUAGUCCGUUGAAGAGUGUAGGUAUUCGGAGGCCAGGCAAAUCCGGCCUUUGAGCUGAACUUGACAGUACUGCGAGCCUUCGGGCAAGCAGACAGCGCGGGUAAGCAGACUCCCAAGAAAAUCCGCUAAACAUAUGUCGGCGACACCCGUACCGAAACGGACACACGUGGUCGGGUAGAACAUACUAAGGCGCUCGAGAGAUUCACCGUUAAGGAACUAGGCAAAUUGACCUCGUAACUUCGGGAUAAGGGGUCCCACAGCGAUGUGGGCGCAGAGAAUAGGUCCAGGCAACUGUUUAACAAAAACACAGGGCUGUGCGAAAUUUAAAGAUGAAGUAUACAGCCUGACACCUGCCCGGUGCCGGAAGGUUAAGAGGAGAAGUCAUCGCAAGAGAAGCUUUGAAUUGAAGCCCCGGUAAACGGCGGCCGUAACUAUAACGGUCCUAAGGUAGCGAAAUUCCUUGUCGGGUAAGUUCCGACCUGCACGAAUGGUGUAAUGAUCUGGACACUGUCUCAACGGUGAGCUCGGUGAAAUUGUAGUAUCGGUGAAGAUGCCGAUUACCCGCAACGGGACGAAAAGACCCCGUGAACCUUUACUGCAGCUUAGCAUUGGGACCGGGUGCGUGAUGUGUAGGAUAGUCCGGAGACAGCGAAGCGGGGGCGCCAGCCCUCGCGGAGUCGACGUUGAAAUACGGACCUUUGCGCAUCUGGUCUCUAACUCGCGGAAAGCGAGGACACUGCUUGGUGGGUAGUUUGACUGGGGUGGUCGCCUCCAAAAGAGUAACGGAGGCUUCUAAAGGUGCCCUCAGACCGAUUGGUAACCGGUCGCAGAGUGUAAUGGCAUAAGGGCGCUUGACUGAGAGGACGACAAUCCGAACAGGUAGGAAACUAGAGCAUAGUGAUCCGGCGGUACCGCAUGGAAGGGCCGUCGCUCAAAGGAUAAAAGGUACUCCGGGGAUAACAGGCUGAUCCCUCCCAAGAGCUCAUAUCGACGGAGUGGUUUGGCACCUCGAUGUCGGCUCGUCACAUCCUGGGGCUGGAGAAGGUCCCAAGGGUUGGGCUGUUCGCCCAUUAAAGUGGCACGCGAGCUGGGUUCAGAACGUCGUGAGACAGUUCGGUCUCUAUCU
rnacentral:rRNA from 1 species